rnacentral:rRNA from 1 species
UAGAGUUUGAUCAUGGCUCAGGAUGAACGCUGGCGGCGUACCUAACACAUGCAAGUCGAACGAACUGGUAGAUAGCAGAUAGCCGAUGGCAGAUGGCUUGCCAUCAGCCAUAAGCUAUCAGCCAUCAGCCAGUUAGUGGCAAACGAGUGAGUAACACGUAGGUGACCUGCCCCGAAGAGGGAAAUAACCAUCGGAAACGAUGGCUAAUGUCCCAUGUACCCCGUGAAGUUAGAGGGUCACGGAGUAAAUGCCUCGGCGCUUUGGGAGGGGCCUGCGGCCUAUCAGCUAGUUGGUGAGGUAAAGGCUCACCAAGGCGAUGACGGGUAGGGGGCCUGAGAGGGUGAUCCCCCACGCUGGCACUGAGACACGGGCCAGACUCCUACGGGAGGCAGCAGUGAGGAAUUUUGCGCAAUGGGCGAAAGCCAGACGCAGUGACGCCGCGUGGAGGAUGAAGGCCUUCGGGUUGUAAACUCCUUUUACGGGGGACGAGGAAGGACGGUACCCCGGGAAUAAGCCCCGGCUAACUACGUGCCAGCAGCCGCGGUAAGACGUAGGGGGCAAGCGUUAUCCGGAUUUAUUGGGCGUAUAGAGCUCGUAGGCGGGGCCUCAAGUCAAAUGCGAAAGCUCCUGGCUUAACCAGGAGAGGUCAUUUGAUACUGGGGUUCUUGAGGGCAGGAGAGGGAGGUGGAAUUCCCGGUGGAGCGGUGGAAUGCGUAGAUAUCGGGAGGAACACCAGUAGCGAAGGCGGCCUCCUGGCCUGUGCCUGACGCUGAGGAGCGAAAGCUAGGGGAGCAAACGGGAUUAGAGACCCCGGUAGUCCUAGCUGUAAACGAUGGAUACUAGGUGUUGAGGGUAUUGACCCCCCCAGUGCCGCAGUUAACGCGUUAAGUAUCCCGCCUGGGGAUUACGGCCGCAAGGCUAAAACUCAAAGGAAUUGACGGGGGCCCGCACAAGCAGCGGAGCGUGUGGUUUAAUUCGAUGCUACGCGAAGAACCUUACCUGGGCUUGACAUGUCCGUGGUAGGAAGGCGAAAGCCGGACGACCCUUCGGGGAGCGGACACAGGUGCUGCAUGGCUGUCGUCAGCUCGUGCCGUGAGGUGUUGGGUUAAGUCCCGUAACGAGCGCAACCCCUGUCGUAUGUUACAUGUGUCAUGCGAGACUGCCAAGGUAAAACUGGAGGAAGGUGGGGAUGACGUCAAGUCAGCAUGGCCCUUAUGUCCAGGGCGACACACACGCUACAAUGGCCGGUACAAUGGGUUGCCACACCGCGAGGUGGAGCUAAUCCUUAAAGCCGGUCUCAGUUCGGAUUGGAGUCUGCAACUCGACUCCAUGAAGCUGGAGUUGCUAGUAACCGCACGUCAGCCAUAGUGCGGUGAAUACGUUCCCGGGCCUUGUACACACCGCCCGUCAAGUCAUGGAAGCCGGUAACACCUGAAGCCGGCGGGCUAACCCGAGAGGGGGGCAGCCGUCGAAGGUGGGAUUGGUGACUGGGACUAAGUCGUAACAAGGUA